ACGACACCACCACUUGGCCUCCCACUUGCUCCUGCCCAAUUCCAGCUCCCAUUUCCAACCCGGCCUGAGCCGGGUUCAAAACAGCUACCUUCUUCCUCCUCUUUGGAGAACCGCUCUCCGAAGACGAGGAUGGCUCAGGCGACGACCGCUUCGACGUCACCCGAACCGGAUCAGGCUCUCCCGAGUUAACCCGGAGCGGGAAAUUCAACAAAGCUCUGGAGCCGCGCAUUCUAUAAGCGGCUCUGUCGUAAGCCAAAGCCGCAUCCUCAGCCGUUUCAAAAGUUCCAAGCCAAACCCUCGCGCCAUUCUUUGCCGGGUCCC
rnacentral:lncRNA from 1 species